CAGUCGCCGCGGUAAUACGAAGGGUGCAAGCGUUAAUCGGAAUUACUGGGCGUAAAGCGUGCGUAGGCGGUUUGUUAAGUCUGUUGUGAAAUCCCUGGGCUCAACCUGGGAAUGGCAAUGGAUACUGGCAAGCUAGAGUGUGUCAGAGGAUGGUGGAAUUCCCGGUGUAGCGGUGAAAUGUGUAGAGAUCGGGAGGAACAUCAGUGGCGAAGGCGGCCAUCUGGGACAACACUGACGCUGAGGCACGAAAGCGUGGGGAGCAAACAGGAUUAGAUACCCCCGUAGUCCCUGUCUCUUAUAA
rnacentral:rRNA from 1 species